CCUGCUCUGAUUAGUUUGAAGAAAGAACAAAACCAAAAAAAAAACUCCUCGUUUUUUUAUUUCUCUCUCGACUUCUCUCUCUUUUCCUCGAAACCAAAACGGCGAUAUCCUAUGAGGCUGUUGAUCUGACGAAUUGAGAGGAGAAAUGAGAUGGAAUUGCGUGUUUCAUCUCACGUAAUCAGAGCUUUUCGGUGGCGUCUCUCUAUCCCUGCAAUUCUCGAAGCUUCCGCCGGAGAAAUCGAGCCGACUCGUCUUCAUCCGUCGAACUGAGAGGAGAAAUGAGUGGGGAUUGCGUUUUUGAUCCGUCGGUAUCAUGAUCUACAUGAGAAAGGGAUAAUUUCAACUCACUGGUCAACGUAGCAACAUAAGUUGAAGUGGAAACCAUAUCGUCAGUUAUGAACGAGGGUCUCUAAGAUUUUGCUUUCUUCUCUCCUUUGAUACAUGUAAGUACUUUGCAUUGUUUGGUAUAUUCUCUUGCAUCGUUUAUUUCUGUGCGGGUAUAAGCUUUGUUUAGUGCAGCAUACCUCAAUUAUGGCUAUAUCAUUGAACUUCUGAUUUUACAUGAUUUAGAUUUGUGUUUUUCCAAGUGUUUAUUUGGUGAUCUCUGCUCAAGUAGAAUACCUAAUCUAUCGCACAAAUAACAUGAGCCAAUGCUAAUAGUCUUUUUUUCAUAAGUUAAGUCUCAGUUUUCUAACGAAUGAAUCAAUGUUUGAAUGAACUUGUGUUUGUUUAAUUUUGGCAAAACAUAAUCAGUUGAUUGGUUUGGUCUGUUUGAAUGAGUUUUGCUUGAAAUAGAUAAAUGUCUCUGUUUUUGAUAAGUGUUCUCUGUUUUCAUUGCUUUGAUCCUUUCUACUCUUUUUGAUGAGGUUUAUUGGAGAAUUUGCCAUGAACAAAGUGAUGAGCUUACUGCAGCCAGAGUUGAAGUGCAGGAGAAACAAGUGGAGUUGCAGAGAAAUGUGAUAACAUGAAGCUUUUGGAAGAGAAAUGUGUGUAACUUGUAUUGUAAGUUAGUGUUUUGCAACAAUUUGAAUUUUUUAUCCUUAAGAACUCUUUGCUUCUUAA